GGGUUGUAAACUGCUUUUGUAAGGGAAGAAUAAAGGCUACGUGUAGUUUGAUGACGGUACCUUACGAAUAAGCAUCGGCUAACUCCGUGCCAGCAGCCGCGGUAAUACGGAAGAUGCGAGCGUUAUCCGGAAUCAUUGGGUUUAAAGGGUCUGUAAGCGGGCUGGUAAGUCAGAAGUGAAAGCGCUUAACUCAACUAAGCAACUGCCUUUGAAACUGUUGGUCUUGAAUGGUUGUGAAGUAGUUGGAAUGUGUAGUGUAGCGGUGAAAUGCUUAGAUAUUACACAGAACACCGAUAGCGAAGGCAUAUUACUAACAAUUAAUUGACGCUGAUGGACGAAAGCGUGGGGAGCGAACAGGAUUAGAUACCCUGGUAGUCCACGCUGUAAACGAUGGAUACUAGCUGUUUGGUUUAAGGAUUGAGUGGCUAAGCGAAGUGAUAAGUAUCCCACCUGGGGAGUACGUUCGCAAGAAUGAAACUCAAAGGAAUUGACGGGGGCCCGCACAAGCGGUGGAGCAUGUGGUUUAAUUCGAUGAUCGCGAGGAACCUUACC
rnacentral:rRNA from 1 species